UUGGUCAGGAAGGAUUUUCCCAACAUGUUUUAUUUUGGGAGAACCCGUGCCCUACCUUGGUUCUUGGUACGAAGUCCCUUGCUGCUGAUGAAACAACCGUCCAAAUCAACUAUAAAUGACAGUAGUACUGGUAUACUGCGUGGCACAAGUACGACUGUUGCGACAGUGACGUCCGCCAAAUAUUUGGUUUCCAUAAAACUGGAAUCAGCAAAAUGACGUGGGUAAUGGAAUGCGCACACAUCGAACCAAUCACCUGAAUUGCCAAACUUAAAAAAAAAGUACGCCAGCCCAAGGUUGCCUCACACUCACAUUAUGAAUCCAGGAAUUUUCUACGGCCUAUGAUUUUAACAUCUGAGCUGAAUGUGCAAGUUACUUGAAAAGAUCUGGAUCACACUAUAUAUCUCCGUGCUCGGUUCCACUAUUACCCGGCCGUCCCGACGUUUCUACUAGGUCAACAUCACUUUCGGUGGCACCGAAAAAAAAUAAUGGAAUUCUUCAACCAACCAAAGUUCCUUUUCUUACUGGCAUAGUCUGGAAAUGAUGGAAAGGUGUUUGUCGAAUUCACGUCAAUCGUCGAUUGUCAGAAGGUAGAGCAGCAUCCUUCGACUGCCAGUUCGUGUCGUCAUUACUUCGUGCUUCGAGUUUCAAACUAGUUUAUUUCGCGUUCUCGAAAAGCAUCCAACUGACAGUGGAAUUGAUUAAAUUUGGGGUAAAGUUAGGGUUAGGUUUCAAGGGCCAAUGAAGACACAACGAACCUUAUCGCUGCAAGACAAAAAAAAGUAAUAGAAACGUGUGUAAAAGUAGA